UUUCCAUAUGUAUAUACAGUACGUAUUCCAUAUAUGGUCAUCUCUUGCAUAAUACUGAUGAGCAAAUACACGACACUCACGAGCAUAUACAUGACGCUGAAGAGCAAAUACACGACGGAAUACUUGCCCCAAGACUCCGAUGUAAACGCUCGCUAUUUAUGAAUUAUGAAAAUGGCGGGUUCUGGUAGAAUGAAGUGUUGUUCGUAUUGUUCGCAUUUGCUGUCUAAAUAUCUUUAUAUCUAUUUCUUCGUAGUUUGUAUAUCUUCUUAGAUCAAGAUACAUAUUAUAAGCUGAAAGCCUGAAUACUGAAAGGUAAGAGAACCGAAAAAAUCCCAGCUUUCUCUCUUGCUAUAAAGUAAUAAAUCUAUGAUUUAUUGAUAUUUUACCUUGUUUUUAUCUACUUUUGACACUUUCAACUUUUAGUAAUACAUGCACUUUAUCAAUAUUUUCUUUACCGAACAGCGUCUUGGUCAGCUUGUUUAUUAAUGCUGUUGUUUUUAACAUUAAUGAUAAAAGGAAUGAAAGCAAACUUUCUAUAAACAGCAAUGAAUCAUAUGAAGGUCUUUGACUGCCAAUGUGUCAUUGUGUGUAUAACUAUAAGGGCUGUUCAUAUGAGCACGGAUCUGCCGGGUUGGUCCGGCUAGUCAUACAUUUUAAAAAUUGCAUUCAUAUGGAAUGGCGGUUGGCCCGGCAUUGCCGGGCUUAUGUGAUUGCAACAACCGGACCAGCCUGGCUAGCUGGGCUGAACAUGUUCUGCUUCAUGUUCAUGCUGUGUUCACAGUGCACCAGUGAUAAAUUGCCGGGCUCAUGCAGCAAAUGAAAAGCCAGCCCGGCAAGGAAAGUUAGCUAGCCAGGCCAGCCCGGCUCAUAUGAACAGCCCCUAAAACUUUAAAUUAAUCUUCCCUUGUCAGUUUGCGACCCGAGCGACCAAGUCGCGAAUGGUCGACUUGUGUCGCUUGCAUGAAAUUUAAAUCGCAUUAAAAAUUUUUGCGCGAAUAAUUUUGACAUAUUAAAAGGGUGUGUACAUUUAAUACAAUUACUUCACUGCGCCAACAAUGGGUCUACAAAAACAAAAACAUUCUCUAGACUAGAAUUGAUAUUUCUUGGUCGUCGAAUAAAACAGUUUGCACCAAGUGUGGAAACGAAAUGACUGCCCCAAGUUAAAUAAGCGCCGAAAGCUGUUCAAUGUAUCGAUCAACAAAAACAAGUGCAUGUAAAAACUUAUUGAAGCUUCACAGUUGUUUGUCUAUUUAAACAAUGUGUGCCGUAAUUAUGUCGACAAGAAUAGUCCGACUUAGUUUGCCAGCGAUUUUAUUAUCGUAGCGAGUAGAAGUUAAUCUAUAAACUGAAAAGAGUCAGACAACUGUAUUAUGUAAACAAUGACGUCACCGGUGGAUUUUUCCACCGGUGAUAUUUGGCACGCUGCAAGUGACAAAAGUCCUUUCCACAGAGGAAGUGAAGUGCGCCAUAGAAGGGCCUGGAAAGGACUUUGGAAAGUCUAGUCUCCAUCAGGAAUGAUUCUGUAGUAGAUAAAUGUGUAUGUGGCUGUUGUGGCAACUAGUCUUUUGGCAAAAGACUAAUUAUAUAGUAUCCACAGUUAUUACAUUGAAAUUUGCAAUAGUCAAAUUUUACAAAUAUUGGAAUUUAAACAAUUUUUUGCAUAUAGUAAUUUAAUUAAUAGUGUUCUCUUACCAAGGAAAAUUAUUUGCUUUUUUUCUUUUAGAUCAAGUAAACAAUGAGCUAGGAUAUAACAUGAUUAAAACGUUAUGCAAAAGAUAUAGAGCUACUCUGAAUGUGCAUUUUCACAGCUCUGGAUGUAAACUUGAAUAAUUAUGGUACAGUGUUACUCCAUGUUUCAUAUGACAUGUCUUAACAUAUGUCAUCUCUAUUUUUAACAAGGAUUGUCUAUUUAGUAUUAACUAAUACUGUUAAAUAUUUGUUCCUGCUAUGCUAAUAAACCUGCAUCUAAAUAACUAAAAAGACAAUACUUUUCUAAAUCUUUGAAUAAUGCAACUCAUUAAAAAUUUGCUUAUAGCAGGCCAUUUGCUAUGGCUGGCUACGCUAUACUGAUAAUACAAUUAUUUCAGGCAAGACAUUAUACAGCUAUUUCGAUUAAGGUUGUCUUUUGAAAACUAUAAACUCUGAGCGUGCAAGUGUUGAUGGUUUAAUUCUUAUUUAGACCCUUCUUUUAAACAAUACCUGUAGGCAUAUGGAAACUUACGAAAACCAACUUGUUACAAACUAAGGUCUAAGCCGGAGUUUAAAGGCUAAAUAAGCAAUAAACCACCAUCCCUUGCACUCUCCGAGUUCACGCUUUAAGCUCUUGGAAGGACAACCUUAAUUAACUGAAAUAGCUGUAUAACUAAUACAUGCAUGUGAGACAUUAAGUAUUAAGUUAACCAAUAAGGCAUUAUCUAUUAACUUUUGUGAUGUAUGUUUAUGACAAAAAAUCAACUUUGCACCAUAUUAUGCACUUUACAGUAUUAACAUUCACAGCGAAUUUACGAACAUUUAUAUGACCGACUUCAGUUAGUUAUCCAAGGCAUGACAACUUUAUAUCAAUAUUUGGUAACAGUUUUUUACUUAUCUUAAUAAAAAAAAACCCAAAAACCCCAUCUUUUUGGACUUCAUUAAUAUGUUAAUAUCUAACUUAUAACAACACCCACCCAGAUUAGCUUAUGCUAUUUUCGUGUGUGUUAAUUUAUGUGAAUAUCAACCUAUAUUAAAUAAAUUAAUGAAAUGAAAAAACAAUAUAAGUCACAAUAUAAAAACUAUGCUAUAUUAAAAUUUUAUAAUUUUUGUUGAUUGUGUUUGAAAACUUCCUGAUAAGUUAAUAUGACUUCAGUUGAUAAAGCAAUUGAAUCAUAAAGCAUUGAAUAUUUCGAUGUCUUCCUUGGUAACAGUAGUAUACUAGUUCUCAAAAACCCACAACUGCUUAUUAUAAAUAGACGACUCAUUAUAAUAUUUAAAUGCAUGAAAUGUUUUUCAGCAGUGAGUGCAUGCAUUUUGUUAUUGUCUUGAAAAUUAAAUUUUACGAAAAAAGGAGAAAUAAUGAAAAACUAUUGGCAUUGUUUAUUGAGUAUUGGCGUUGCCAUUAUUGUAUUAAUCAGCCAUUAAUAAUCAGGUGAUCGGUCUAAUGACUACACUUCAGAGUUUUGUUGAAGAAGUAAGUUGCACAACCAGUGAUGGGUUCCUGCAGGGAUUAAAGAGAACUGCGUGUGCACAAUACAUUACUCUAAGCAUUUAUUAAAUUAGUCAUACACGUACGAGCGGGGCAGUGACCCGGCUUUUUUUCGCGGGAAAUAUUCCUGCUUUUCGGGCAAAGACAAUAAAUCCUUACGUAUCCAUUUGAGAAAAUUAGAGAGAAAGUGACUUGGAAACACUUACAAUUAACCUCUAUAUAUUUCAAAUUGAGCGUAAAACUUGGUAAAAUACAGUCCGAAUUUGGACGCAUAGUAAAAUAUGCAUUGUGUCCCAAAAACCAUCCAUUCGUUUUUCUUUUGCAUCUCUUACAGGUAAACUACGUGAAGCGUUCCUCUUUUGAGUUUCUAAAUUGAUUGCAAUUUUCCUCAUUACUUUUGCAAUUUAAAAAACUCCCUUGCAAAUUCCUUGAGGGAAUUUGCAAUGUUGCUAAAAGCCAAAAAAAUUUCCUCAUUUCCUGUUAGAAGUUCUUACCUUCCUGUUACAAGUUCCUAACUUCCUGUUCUGUUCUGCGUGCUGUAAUUGGCUAACAAAAAUAAUCGACCAAUAACAACGCUCAGAACAGAACAGGAAGUUAGGAAAUUAAAACAGGAAGUUAGGAAAAUUUAAAAUGAAGUUUGGAAUAUUGCAACAGCCGAUAGGAACAUUGCAAAUUCCCUGAAGGGAUUUGCAAAGAGUUUUUCAAAUUUGCAAAGCUAAUGAGGAAAAUUCCAAAUGAGUUACGAAGUCAAAAAGGAACGCUUCACGUAGUUUACCUGUAAACUGGUACAAUAAGUGCACGCUUUAAAUAAAGUUUGAUUAAAAAAUUAAGCAUACAAUGCGACAUCAAUUAAUGGACGUCGUUAACAAUACAAACAAAUCUUUACAUUUUUAUUUCAGCGUUUGUCACAGUGUGAUUUCUCACCCACACGAAAGUUAUUUGGACAACAAUAUUCUCCCAAGAAAGCGUAUUUAUAACACUUUGCUAUAAUGAAACAUGAAGAAAAACUAAAGAAAUUGGAAAACUUCGAGUUGGAGAGUUUGUACUUUUUAGUUGAU